rnacentral:rRNA from 1 species
UGGGGAAUAUUGCGCAAUGGGGGCAACCCUGACGCAGCAACGCCGCGUGCGGGACGACGGCCUUCGGGUUGUAAACCGCUUUCAGCAGGGAAGAUAGUGACGGUACCUGCACAAGAAGCCCCGGCUAACUACGUGCCAGCAGCCGCGGUAAUACGUAGGGGGCGAGCGUUAUCCGGAUUCAUUGGGCGUAAAGCGCGCGCAGGCGGCUCUUCAGGCGGAACCUCUAACCCCGGGGCUAAACCUCGGGCCGGGUUCCGAACUGGAGGGCUGGAGUGCGGUAGAGGCAGGCGGAAUUCCCGGUGUAGCGAUGGAAUGCGCAGAUAUCGGGAAGAACACCAAUGGCGAAGGCAGGUCUCUGGGCUGUUACUGACGCUGAGAAGCGAAAGCGUGGGGAGCGAACAGG